ACGGAAGGCGGCGACGUGGCCGAAGGAGGCCCGUUUGUGUCUAAACGGAGGCUCGGCCACAACGCCACUGGAUUGGUGGUAGGGCGGGGCGGGCCACAGUCUCCAGCCUGAAGCGGAAGUGGAGAAAAGAUGGAGGACCAUCAGCACGUGCCCAUCGACAUCCAGACCAGCAAGCUGCUCGAUUGGCUGGUGGACAGAAGGCACUGCAGCCUGAAAUGGCAGAGUCUGGUGCUGACGAUCCGCGAGAAGAUCAAUGCUGCCAUCCAGGACAUGCCAGAGAGCGAAGAGAUCGCCCAGCUGCUGUCUGGGUCCUGUGAGUGCUUAGGGGCUGUCACUGGAGUCCCCUCUUUGCUGAGGUAACAUUCACUACUUUCACUGCCUAAGAAUCCUGGACCUUCUCAAAGGCACAGAGGCCUCCACGAAGAAUAUUUUUGGCCGAUACUCUUCACAGCGGAUGAAGGAUUGGCAGGAGAUUAUAGCCCUGUAUGAGAAGGACAACACCUACUUAGGUAAAGUGGCCCGGCCUGGGAGCCCUGGUAUCCAUGGGGAAGCCCACUCUCAGAGUUCUGAGAUACCAGGCUUAUAGGAGGCACAGUCUGUGAGUGGGAAGAGACUGG
rnacentral:sRNA from 1 species